AGAUGCGAUCAUACCAGCACUAACGCACCGGAUCCCAUCAGAACUCCGAAGUCAAGCGUGCUUGGGCGAGAGUAGUACUAGGAUGGGUGACCCCUGGGAAAUCCUCGUGUUGCAUCCC
rfam:Nicotiana sylvestris Nsyl_contig33635, whole genome shotgun sequence.